rnacentral:lncRNA from 1 species
GCCUCCUCUCUUCCCAUCUCGUCUCAACUCGAUCACCUCCAUCCAUCCAUUCUGGAGGAUGGAACAAGGGAGCGAGAGAGGCAAGAGAGGGAGCCAGGCAUCAACUCCACCUCCAGGAGGAGGAGGCAGCCGCCGAGAGGAGGAGGAGGUGGACAAGUUCUACGCUUUGCUGGAAAAGAUAAGAGCGAUAAGAGAGUCGUUGAGGACGAGCAGAAUCAAGAGGAUGAAGACGGAAGCAGCUCCGGUUUGGCGGCCUAAGUUCGAGUUGGAGGACUUCAUGGAGGGCGGCGAAGCUGGCAGCGCCGCUGUGGGCGAACACAGUCAGAAGAAGGCAGAGAGAAAGGAAGAAGAAGAAGAAGAAGACGAAGACGAGAAGAAGAGUAGUUUAGAUCUAUGUCUGUCUCUGUAAAUGAAUGUUUGUACAAUUCGCAUGCAUCGGUGAAGAAUUCCACUGCUUGUCCAACUCGCUGCUAAUGUCUCUUCUGUGUUCUUUCUCUGGGAGGGAAUGGCAUCAUCAGGUGUGAAUGCCGGAGGAACACUGUGCAACAGCUACAAGUCAAUGUAAAUGGAUUAUUAUUCUUCUGUUGGAGGUUCCAAAUGUGAGUUGGACUGAAGGAAACAAGUCGUAUAGAUCGGAAUAACGAGAGAGGAAAAGGCCGUAACGUAUAGACCGGUAAAUGCUGUCUUUUCAUUGCGUAAAGGCAGACGAGUCUGCCGAGAGCCGAUCUUUUCGUGGAUGAACUAAAGACCACAUGAUGAGGGUGGCAGAUGCUGCUGCUGCUGCUGCUGUUCAUGACAUGUCGAGGGGACCAACUCCCCCGCUUGAGUGCAGACGAAAAGAUGACAUGAAAUACCAACGCCGGCCGACCCGCCAUGGCUAGAUUAGAUUACGACGGACAUGUGCUGGUGGAUCGGAUCGAGUGGAUACCCAAUCCAAACAGCCCUCUUUGGCACUCGGCAGCAGCAUGUAACGAUUGUUAGACUCAUUCCGUACCCUCUUUGGCAUUUGAUAGGGGCAAUGAACAGAUAGAAUAAUUGACAACUAUCAACUUCGUCGAUUGAUUCAAAGUCAUUAAACAGUUUUAAUAGUAAUUCAUCCCCUCUGAAUCUUGUAAAUUAAUCUAAAUCUCUUAAUGUGUGAUUGGAUCAAAAGUGAUGUAAUCUUUUAUUAAUUGGACCAACUCAAAAACUUCAAUACUAUAAAAAUUAAGAGAACAAAUAAAAUGACAAAACAUUUAUGCUAGCAUUAUCAACAACUCAUUACUUUAUGCCAUCAAAACAAAGGGAAAAAUGCAAAGAUAGCUACUAAUGGCAAAUAAAAUGACAAUGGUUCGAAAAGCAACGUUCCUACCACGCUAGAGAGAGAGAGAGAGAGAGAGAGAGCUCCAAAAACAAAAAAAGAGGUCCAAAAACAUACACCUACAUAAGAUAACCUGAAAUGUGUGCGUCACAGUUGCUUAGAACACUAAAACCUAAGAAUAGUGGCGGCACAAGAGUCAUCGCCGAGUAGGCUGUCCACCGCUAGUAGCGUAUCUCCCAAACUCUGAUGGUUCCAUCGGUGUAACCGGUGAACAGUGUGCUACCGUUGGCACUCCAAGUCAAGCUUGUGCAGUAUAACAUCUGUGCAAAGAGUGAGAAACAUGGAUAGAUUUGAGUCAAUUAUCUGGCAACACUCUUUGGAAUGAAACAUUUCAAAUCCAUAAGCUUUCGACUUUGAUUGGCCAAUUAAAACACCAAGCACAACAAAAUAUAUAUAGAAUUAUCAGAAAAUAAAAACGAAUCAUGCAAAAACGUCACCACAACUGCCUACAGCAGCUGCAAGACAAGUAUUGCUGGGAAGAUGUCUCUUGUACAAAUACAACUUAGUUGGAACAGGCAGUCUUGGGUUGUCAAUGUCAAAAAUGUGAUAUAAAGCUGCAAAAGUCUAUGCAUCAACAAUAAAUAAAUAAAUCAUGAAACUGAAUGAAUGUCCAACUAAAACAGGACAUACUGGAAUCUUCCCUAAAUAUGACUAUAAUCAACUUUAAAUCAACUAACAGAUUGAAUAGUUUGUAUGAACAUCCACUACAUAUUUUUCUGAGAAAUCCCAUGCCCUCUUUAGAGGCUCCAGAUUCUUAUCCAGAGAUCCUGCAAAAUGAGGGGAGGGGUUUGAGGAUGUCAAUGACCUAAAUCCAAAUUUUCAGUAUGGAAGAUUCCGCAAAAGAAGUCGUAUUAUACUGGAUUUAAUAUGAUGAACACCUUGCUUCUUCCCAAAUCUGAUACUCUUGUGAUAUAACAUGAUGAUUAAAUCUAAGAUUUCAGAAGAGAAGUGUGGUGGUGUCAUACAAUGACUUCUAAAGAAAUCGCAUGACAACAGACUGCAGAAUUGUUUACAUGUAAAAGGUCAACAUGUAAGCCACUGAAGAUACUAUCUGAUUUAGUUAGAGCAUGGUGGUUCAAGGUCAAAGGAUAUGCCAUAAUUGUUCUACAACAACUAGUUGACACUAUCCAAGACAAAAUUAGAUCCAUUGAAAAGUGGAUCUACAAAGAUACAAGUGCAGAACCUUUCAUAAAACACCCAGUUAAUACAUUAGACCAAACAAGACCCAUACGUUAAACAAGCCUAAGCCAAUCUACAGGUUACCACCGAAAAUAAAUACUGGGAGCAGUGAUCUUUUAUAUGAAAAAGAACCUCAACUGUACCUAAGAAAAAUGAAACUUAAGAAAAUAAUAUGGGAUUGAUUUGAUAGACAAAAUAACAGGACCAUUAAUUAGAGCAAGUCAGAUAAAUCAUUGGAUUCUAGAAAUAUGUGCAAAAUUUCUAUAUGUUUACCUAUGCUGUGAGAUGAUACAAACCAUCAUCUUCUGAAAGGUUUUAGGACAAUAUAAAUCAUUUAAGAUUAUCGAACUGGUUAUAAUGACGAGAAAAUUUUCAAGUCUGGUCAAUUGAAAGAAGAUAAUUUAGCACUUGCCAGACAAUGACAAAUACAACAAAGUGAACAAAGAGCUUCAAAAAAUUAAAAAAAAAAAAGAAAAUUGCAUCAUAUGUAAAAGAAAAUCAGUUGCUAUCACAUUAUUUAAUUAUUAAAGAACUUUAAAUCAUAAGCAAAUUAAUACACAAUAAAAUUUGUUAAAUAAUUAAGAAAUCUAAAAUCCCAUGUGCCGGAUGAUGGAAUGAAGCAGCACUUAUGAACUGUAAGAUUUACUGACUCAUGAAAUUGUAACACUAAUCCAAGAGAAUUGAGAAGAAACUUCAUUUUCAAAAAGAUUACCAUAUUUAAAAAAAAUAAAAAGUACUCUAAUUAAGUGGCUUAUGUUCUUAUUUUUCACCUACAUGGAUGUAGUUUGCCAGAGCCAAGCCUAUCAAUCCUAUUCUAGACCAUUCCUUAUGUCUAAAAGGCUUUAAACGGUUGCUACCUGGUUUCACGAGCAUAAAUAUUACACUCUUCAACAAUUACAGAUCAUAAAAACUCUAAAUAAACAGAAAUAACAAAUUCUCAUAUAAGAAAUCCCAGUUAUAUCAACUGACAGAAAUAGCAACAAGAAUAAAAAAAGCAUGAGCCACAAUCCCAAUAAAAUAAAUGUGCAGCAGGAGGGAUAAAAACAGAAACUACAAUAAUCCAGUUUACAUUAUGUUCCCCUAACUAAUACAGGUAUUACAUAAUGUUAAACUAACUAGUACUCCAAGAAUAUCCCGAAAUGGACAUCUUGAUGGCAUGUGCAGUCAAGAUAUCGGGACCUCAAAUGUCAAUGUUGGCAUCUUAUGUGCAUGGUCUCAGUGAAAUACAGCUAACAAACAUCUUAGCAACUAGUUAAUAGCUAAGGAACACACUUUUGGAGAAUGAGCACAAAGUAAGUCAUUAUUUCAGAUAUAUCAAAACAAAGUUUUCUGUUAUAGAAAGUGAUACAUAUACAAUUUUAUCACUUCUUAGCAUACCAUAGUCCUAAAUAAUGAUGAUCAAAGGAUAAUUGGAACUGGAUGCGAAGAAGACCCAUGGAAAGCACAUCUAAAACUCUAAUUAGUCAUGAUCUUACUGAAUGCAAGAUAAAUUGACCGUAACUAAGCUUCCAAUUUAAAUCAAAUGGUGGCAGAAAGAUCGUUCUUUGUUGAACCUAAUAUUCUGAAAUCCUAUCAGUACAUGCACAAGGCCGGUUCUACAGAGGCCCUCGCAAAUAUAAGAGUUGCAUCAUUGGAAUCAACAGAAUUUGAUGUAUUUGUUUUAAUUCACUACCUAAAUGAACCGAUUACCUGAUUCUUAGUGGUAGUGAUCUCAGGCUUGAGAUCCUGCACGAUGGACUUGCUCUCAAGAUCCCAGAUCUUCACGCUCUCCUGAGUGGCAGCGCAAAGCCAGUAUCGGUUGGGACUGAAACAGAGGGAGUGGAUGAUGGCCCCGGCAUCAAGCGAGUAGAGGCGCUUCCCCUCGGCGAGGUCCCAGAGCAGCGUGACCCCAUCCUUACCACCGCUGGCGCAAAGGGAGCCGUCCGGGCUGACGGCAACCGUGUUGACGGAGCCGGCGUGGCCAGCGAGUGUGCAUCGGAGCUUGCAGUUGGUCAAGUUCCAGACCUUGACGGUACGGUCCCAGGAGCCGGAAACAAUGGUAGGCUGGUACGCGUUGGGGCUGAAACGGACGCAGCUAACCCAGUUGGUGUGAGCAUCGGCGUCCUGGAUGGUGUACUUGCACUCGCCGAGGGUGUUCCAGAGCUUGAUGGUGCCGUCGCGGGAGGCAGACACGAUCUGGCGAUUGUCGAUAGAGAAGGCGACGGAAAGAACGUCCUUGGUGUGGCCGAAGAAGCGGCGGGUGGUGACACCGGUGGAGAGAUCCCAGAGACGGAGAUCACCGUCCCAGGAACCGGAGAGGGCAAAUUGGCCAUCGGAAGAGAGGACCACGUCCUGGACGAAGUGGGAGUGCCCGGUCAGGCGCCGCCGGGGGACGCCGUAGGAGCCGACGCCACUCCCGUCCGCGGAGGCGGCUGGGGCGUCCUUGGUGAGGUGCCACACGAGUACGGACUUGUCCCGGGAGGAGGAUACAAUCAUGUCAGAGUUGUCGAUGGGGGCCGCGAUGGCCGUCACCAUGUCGGUGUGGCCACGCAUCGUGCCGCGGAGGACCAGAGUGUCGGCCAUCUUCGGAUGUGCGGCAGAGAGGAGGAGAAGGGCGUCGGCUGCUAGGGGUCAAAGGAGGGGGUGAGAAGAGGCGAUCAGCAGAGAUGACCUCAAAUAUGGGAGGACCGGCUAGGGUUUUGGACGCUGCACGAGAGGUGGUUGUCAAAUUGCUCGAGCCAGGCCUUCAACCCCAGGUUAUUGAGAUCGAGCCGCUGUACAAAAGCCCAAUUGAAUUCGGUCUGGUUCAAUGUUCCGAGACGAACUAGAACCGCAUAGUCAUGUCCAUUUCAAUCGAACCAAAAUGACGAUGGAUGUGUGAUGUCGAUUUGAUCGGAUUCCAAUCUUUGAAUCCGAAUACGAAUCCAAAUUCGAAUCCAAUUCAAUUUAAAGCACCCAAAGUUCUCUGUCAUCCCCAAACCGCCGCAAGCCGCCAACAAACUCCCGCGUCGACGAUCGCGCGGACGUCGCCUCUUCUAUCACCAUCAUGGCCGCCGCAGCCGCCUCCUUUUCGUCCUCUGUGUCUUUGUCCUCCUCAAGUCACCACCGUCGUCUCACCUGCAAGGACAAUACCAGAGUAAUCGGAACGUUAAGCCCCUCCCCCCGCCUUCGGAACCCUAGCGCCCCUCAUCCUCCGCCACCGCCGCCGCGGGUCCUCGGUCUCCUCCUCCUACACUGCCUCCGACCCUGCCUCCGUUGAGGCCAGCGGAUGUGGCAGUAAUGAGCACCAGGAUCAGCGAUCGAAGAUCCGGCGGCCGGCUGAGGAGAACAUCCGCGAGGAGGCGUGCCGGCGCGACGAGGGAAACGCGUCGCACGGCUUCUUGGCGUGCUAUGUGCGCUUCAACGCUCCCGUCGACUGCGGCGAGACCGGCUCCUCGCGGUGUUCAAACAUCGAAAAUGGGUAAAACUAGAUGAUCGGAUCGUAAUAUUUGACGUGAUGUUUGAUAUUAGAGCCAUUUGUAGAUGGAGUGAAUAUAUAUAUAUAUAUAUAUAAUGUGAAGCCACCGUUAAACUACGCUUGACAUAUACUAUAUUAAUAUUUGAUUUAAGUUAUGUUGGAACCAUCAUUGGCCUAUGUUUCAUGUGUGAUCUCUUCAACUCCCGCAUUAGCAGCACCAUAUACUCUAUGGCUUUAGCAUCAAUCAACUAGUCAACAUAGGGAAGGGAUAACUGCUUUCUCGGCAUGUUUUAAUGAGAUUAAUAUACUCAAUACGUAUUCUUUAGUUUAUAAUAUCAUCGAGUCAUUAUAGGUAUUGAAUGUUUAUAAUGAACCUUACUAAUAACAACUUAUUUAUCUCCUUACUAAUUACUCAUUGGUGAUCAGAAGUAAACUUAUGAAGUCUUUACUUUGAUCAUGUCUUGAAGGAAAUGUUCAUAUAAUGUUGAGUUAGGUUGAUUCCUAGCAUGUCCCUUCGUCACCACGUAUAUAUCUUAAUAAUUUUCUGAAGAAAAUUAAUGAGUUACACCUAUCUCUCGUUGGGAAGGGUCGUCUCAACCUAAACAAUUCGGUAGGCUCGAGCUUUAUCUAAGGGCACUUUAAUCAGCGACUCCAGUAGCUCGAGAUACAGGAUGGACUUGGCCAAGUCUUGGGGGUCUAUAGGUGGUGCCUCAAGUAAAACUUUCUUUAGUAGGAGACUGUCAUUAGGUAGCACUGGUGUGGUUUCCUUGGGUUGCUUCACAGAUGUUGGCCCUCAUCAGGAAUUUCAUCACCAUAUGAUAAGUCAAUACCAAUGCCCUCAAGUUAUUCAGUAUUAGUCGACCUAUGAUUACAAUGUACAAAGAGGGGAUAUCCACCAUCAUAAACUUUGUUAAUAUUGUUUUGGAGUAGAGUUUUUCUAUGAAUGUAACAUGCAAGUUCACGAUCCCAAGAGGGGAGGUAGAAUCACGAGUGAAUCCCGUCAAAGAAGAAGUUAUUUAUGUAUAUUCAUUAGUUGAUGGUUCAAGUUUUCGAAAAGCAUCAAAGUAGAGGAUGUCAAUAGAGUUACAUAUAUCGGUCAGAACUCUCUUCAUCUAGGCAUUAAUCACUCACAAAGACCACCAAAGUAUCAUCAUGAUUUAGGUUGAGUUAUUUUAUCUCUUCUUCCUUGGAAGUUAUGUUUAAGUCGCCUUUCGUUCUUGGCUCUUUUAAAUGGUUGCUCGAACAUAAGCUUUAUGAUUCAAGGAGUUGUUCCCCCACCAAGAUAGGUUCACCAAUGAUGACAUCAAUUUAUUUCAGCAUCGGCUCUUGAGGUUGGGGUGAGGUCGGUACUUUCUAAAAACUACAUGAGGUUUCACCGCUAUAUUAUCAUGGACAAAGCUAUAAAUAGAGUAAUCGAUUUAAUACUCACGUAUAUCUAUGUAAUACUCACGUAUAUCUAUGUCUUACGAUUUGUUCAUGCUUUACAUAACAUAUAGAGGGCUGACGGUAGGCUUGGAAUCCCCAUUUUGAUUAGUUUUGGUAGUUAUUUUUAGGCUUGUAAGCGAAGGUUGUGUUAUGUGGGCAUUUGUAGGGAUUUUAGUCUACGAUAGACCUUCUUAGACCAUUUGUCAUGCAACCAUUCAAAGCUUGUGAAAUUCAUAUUUGAAAUUUACAUUACCUAUCAAGUGCUUGCUGAAAUGGUUGCUUGUGAAUCCUGAGUUAAAUGUUUUCUCUACUUAUCUUCUCUUUUGUAGGUCCUUAAGAGAUCAUAAGAGAUUUUAAUGAUGUUGACCCUUUGCGAACGAACACUCAAUUGUGCCGUACAACUAAGUCUAUGACAAUUGGUAUCAAAGUGAGAUAAGCAUAUAUAGAAACUCUUGGCAUACAAAUGUGGGAGCUCCAUUUCGAUGAACGACACGAUAACAAAAAGUGCUAUGGAUUCAAGGAGUGAACGCCAUGGUACCAUAAAGGCGGGUCUUCCAUGCAUGUAUAAAAUUUUACAUUGGAUGUAAGCCUUGAUUAUCAAUAUAUGGAGGCUAUGUAUCACUAUGGGAGAAUUCCAAAUACAAGUACCAAUGAGUCUCAUGGGGAGACUUGAUCAUACAGAGGUAUGAUUGGAGCGAGUUGAGAGUUAGAUUGCUCCAGAGCUCACAUUCGUUUAAGGGAGCUCGACAAAUUAGAGGACAAGGCCGAGUAAGCGAAUGUUGCUACUAAAUAAACUGAGAACAUAAUCGACGUGAGCCCUGAAACAUGAUAGUGAAAGCCAUGCAUGAGAGUUACAGUUUGUUUUUCCAUCGACUAAGGGGUAUUGCUUGGAGAACAUAAAGUUAUUGAAGCAGGUAGUCAAAAAGGGAAAAAAAGUGACGACGAGUCCAAAGUGACUUAACUACCUAAAACAAGAGUUGGUUAGACUAGAGGUGGACUUGGAGUGUCAUAGUACUGUAGAGGCAGAUCUACCGAUCAUGAAGAAAGAGAUGCAAAUGCGAGGUAAUUGAUAGUAAUUUCAUGGGCAUAACAAUGUCAUUAUAUCAUAGAGGUAAGACUUUCAUGGAGUCAUUGAUCCCUUACACUUAUAAAGAGAGAGCGUUAGUCAUGAAAGGGCCGAGGAGAUGGAGAAUACAGAGGCAAACUCCAAGUACCAAGGAGAAUACUGAGGCAAACUCCAAGUACCGAGGCAAGGUUGAAGGGCAGUGGCUAGGAAAUUUUGUAAGACCAGUAUCAACGAGCUUCUCGUCAAAAUAGCCGAAAGUGAAGGACUACGGGUCGAUACAAGAGUGCUUAACAAAGGAAUGAAAUAGGCAGUACGUGGUGCUAUACCUUUUCUACUCAGAGGAGUAGGCGACAGAAAUGAUGUAGAAGAUGGUACAAUCCCAGAGGCAAUCAAAACUAUCAAAGACUUACUGCAAGUUGGGGUGAAAUUUUGCUCUUUUUGAGCAAAACUUCUUGCAUUCUAGAAAUUUGAUGGUAAUAAGAAAGAAAAUUAGAAUAGUUAACUCAACGCAAGGAGUGUAAACACUUCGAGUGCUUUGGAAGUGUGAGCAAAGAGUAGGUGAAGGCUAGUAAUCAACUUCAUGCAUAUAGUACAACCCUCGAGGAGGCAAGCGAAGUUAAGUAACCUUUACCUUCUCAACUUUUAAGAGAAUGAACGAAAUCGAGUAUCCCAGUUCUCCUAUUUAUCUAGUAGAGGAGCUCUGCACAGGUUUAGAGACCCUUUGAAGAAACUUAGUGGGAGACAAAUAGUUAUCAAAUCCUCACCAAUGAUGAUCGAUGCUAUUCAGAAUAGACUAUUCGCUUCAAUUUUCAACAGAAUGUCAAUCGAAAUGAAAGUGAUACGAACCUACUUGGAAGUGAUAACUAAAUGGAAAAAGAAUGGAUGGACGAAUUUUAUAGAGGAAAGACCCCAAAAACUUUAAAGUUUGUGAUACGAUAUUCGUUAAAGCUCUAACAUGCAUCUAUCCAGUUCAAGCGACAUGAGACAUUUGAGAGACUAGGGCAUAACAAGGAUGGCCUUUUCGUUCAUCUAACAAGGAUUAACAUAACUCAGUCGAUCUCAUACUAGAGUCAGAGUUAUUGACAAGUUGAAGUAGUAUGGCGAAUCAAAGUUGGAUUACUCAACAAUAAUGGUGGAGAGUAGUUGGGAGCCAAGAGGCAUGGUGUAGUUGGAGUAGAAGAUUGAAGAUUCAGCAAAGGCGAGAUGAUGCAAUGUUCGCGAAGGCUUCGACGAGGACGUCAAAGGAAUAAGUGGAGGAGAAUAUCAUGGAUAAAACUAUAAAGAGGGUGUUCGAUGUAAUACUCAUGUAUGUUUGUGUCUUUCAUUUUUGUUUAUGUUUUGCACUAUAUAUAAAGGACUGACAUAGGCUUGGCAACCCCAUUUUCGUUACCUUUAGUGGCUGUUUUAGGCUUGUAAAUGAAGAUUAUGUCAUAUGGGCACUUGUGGAGAUUUUGGUUUGUGGUGGACCUUCUUGGACCUUUUGUCAUGCGACUGUUCAGUUCUUGUGAAGUUCAUGUUUGCAAUUUGCAUUGUUUAUCAAGUGUUUACUGAAAUGAUUGCUUGUGGAUCCUAAGUUAAACGCUUUCUCUAACCUAUUUUAUCUUUUGUAAGUCUUUAAGAGACCCUAAGAGGUUUCGAGGAGGUUGACCUUUUACGGACGAACACGCAAGGGUAUCACAUGACUUAGGCAGAACCAGCUAAGUUUGUGACAAUAUAAGCUCUUCAAUCUACUAUUUUAUGUUGUGACAUUCUUUAGUGUCAUGAUUUUCUACUUCUAACAUAUCAACUAAGCAUAUAAACUAAGUCUACGAGUGUUUCUUCUUCCCUCCACUUGAGUUUGAGGAGUGUUGUCGCUUAAAGGCCAAGGGCAUAAGUUCUCGAGGAUAUGAAGUUCGAACUCCCUCACCAACUGGGCAAAGGAGCAUAUAGAAAAUAACUUCAAGAGAGCGUACAAUUAUCAUGCUAAGCCUCUUAACCUAAUCGAGAAGGCAUGAUACUUUAGGGUGUCCAAGGUGCCAUAUAAUGGUAUCUGGGCAUAGAACGCUGUAAUAUGCUCCAUCGAGUCAAUGCUACCAUUGACUGCUUCAAGCAUGCGAGAUGAAAGUUUGUUAGAAUCGCUUCCUCCUUGAUUUUCUAGGUGAAUGACAACUGACCUAAGGUAGGGUCGACCAACGUCUCCCAUUUUAAUUGUUGGAACUAUAGAUGCAUCUCCUUCAAAUUUCGGUCUAUCUAUUGUAGUUAGAUCCAUAGGGAAUCCUUCAUCGAGUCCGUUGAUUGAGUUUUAAAUUCAGGCGAGGAAGAGUGAAAGUGGUAUGAUCUGUUGAAUUUCAUGAUCGAUGAUCAAAGUACCCCCUCGACUGACGAUUCAAUGGACCUCAAGCACUCUUGAGAUAUCAACACUAUAUUGGGAAAUCUCGGCAAGUGCCGAUAGUGAUGGAGUCGAGGAUUAUGGCUGAGUUGGUGGAGUUGCCUAUUGGGCCAAAAUCAGAGCGACGGCUUGUCUCAUGCUUGUUAUUAUAUGUGCUUACUAAGUUAGGUUUAAAAACACCUCAACAGGGAUAAAGAGGUGGCCCAAUGCUGUCCCUAGAGGUGAAAGACCCAAAUUGUUGAAUAGGCGCUAGUACGCAUUUGAGUUUGCAUCGAGUUGGAUUCUCCAAUGUGUGGAGAGGAUGGUUGUUAAUCGACUUGGGUGAAAGUACUGUGAGUCGGAGGCAAAGCUUUUUUGUUUGAGCGUUCAUUGAGAGGAUUGACAGGUGGUUGUUCCUAUGACAUUGAGUGCUCUUUCUAGCACAAAAAAUGUUACAGGAAGGUAUUAUUGAUGCCCGGAUCAGCCCAAUGUAGUCUGAACCUGUAUACAUAUGGUUGCCCAAGGUGUUUCCGAGAUGAAAACACUAAACUCUCGAGGUGCCAGUUACACAAAGACUAAGGUCAAAAGAGAUUUUUAGACCCGAUUCCUUUGUCACACAAGUUAGUAAUUUGAGGUCUAUGAGUACAAAUACAAGUACUAAAAAAAAGUCAACCACUUACUCAUCGUGUUGAAGACGAGCUUUUAUACUUAGUUAUAAAAAGAUGGAAUAUGAAAUAUUCUACGAGGUAACCUUUAAUCGCUUCCAAUGGUCCUCUCUUGGCCUCUUGUUCAUGUGGGCGACAAGGGAGGGGGCAACCUUAUGCUGCCUACCUUGAACCUACUUUGGACUCUUAUCCAUGCGAGUAGAUGACUCAAAGGUGACUUGGAUCUCUUCCCCCCAUCGAGGACUCCACGUAAUAAUUAUGUGUUGAUUAGAUGAUGAUAUACUCCCUACCAUCAUGAGAGAUAGCUUUUAACUAUAUUUAACGAUCUCAAUUUGAUAUUUUUUUCUAUGUAGAUGAUAAUGAUGAAGAGAACCCAUACUAAGCGAACGAACCAAUAAAAGUAAUUUUUGUCUCAUUCUUGGACAUCACGUGGAGGAUAUAUAACAAAUAAUAAUAAUGGUAAUGAUAAUGAUAUUAAUAACGAAGAUAGUAAUGAUAAAAUUACUGGUAAUAAAAUUCUUUUGAUUGCAUUUGCAUUGCUUGUGACUUUGAUUCAUAUGCAGUCUGCUGGGUUUACCAUUACCAGUUACUGUCCUGAUCGCUGUAGGUAGAUGCAUCCGUGUUGGAUUCGAUGAGAAAACGAUCAAUUUGCUCCAUACAGAUUUGUUUUAUGUUGCGACGGGUUCUUUUACUCGGACAGCGUCGAACACAUUGGCACUUGUUAUCGAGAAGCUCACCAUGAUGACGCCAGUGCUGAUGCAAAUGGACUUCCAAGUAAGAACAAAUAAACAACUAAUAAUAAUAAAUAAAAUUACAAAACAAGCUUAGAUGGUAGUCAUAAUCAUUAGGCAAUUGGCAAUUGGCAAUUGCCAAAGUUUUCCUCUUUUCCCUUUUAUUUUUGGCUUGAAAUGUUAAAUUUCUAACCCUAAAAAGAGCAUAUUAUUGUAGUAUUUUAAAAUUCUUAAUUUUCUCUUUGCUGAACUUUUUUUUUUUGGGUGAACUAAGAAGAUCAUCACAAAAAGGGAUUCGAUCAUUCACCAAAAGGAAACAAAAUAUAUAAGCAAGAGAAAAGUUUGAAUCUUGAACACCAAACCAUUACACACCUGCUGUUCUCACAAUGCCGAUUUGGAUACACAAGCCCUUGCAUUAGCUUCUUUCUGUGAAAAGAAGUUCUUCUGAUCGAUGACCCUCAUUUCUUCCACUUAAAUUCCCUGCAGAGAAGAGUUACAACCUUGCUUAGACAAAGAUGAAGGAUCAAAGAAUAUAAGCAAUGACAUAAUAGAGAGAAUUGAGUAAGAUGGAAAGAAUGCAGAAGAGAGUAAGCGUUUCUCAUAGAGCUAAAAGGUCUCCCUUCUAUCAAUAAUGCUGGAACAGUACACCAUAGUCACAUAUUACAAGUUCCUCACAGAAAGCUUCAGAAAUAUUGCCUUGCUACAAACUAACAUAACACGUUGAUUGAUGAUUCAAGAUCAGAAGAAACAUCAGGGACAACUCCCAAAACCUCGAGUACCAAGGAUGUCUCUUGGCGGAGCGGCAACGCAACCUCAGAACAAUCCACAAACAACUGAUCCUAUGAACUAAGAUGAGGCUUAAGCUUUAAACUGCCACUCCCUGCGACACAUAGGGCAAUGUGGCUGAGGGGUCUGCGAGUUAACCCAUUUGAGAAUACAAUGCAGAUGGAAAGCAUGAUUACAGGCACCCCAGAUCAGUGGGCAAUCGUCACCCGGGAAUUUACAGUCUGGGCAGCAACCAUCAAACGCCAUUCUGCAGAUCCCGCAUGUUUCAUCCUGAGCAUCCCAUGUCCACGAAGCCACAGCAUGCCACUUCAGUAUUUUGACCUUCAUCAGGUUUACUGAGGAAGAAAACCACGGUCAUUUUAGCUUUUGCUUAUUCAAAGCGUAUCGAUAGAGUGCAAUAUAAAGAUGAUUCUAAGCAGCUUUCCUGAGAACCAAAAUGGCUCCAACACAUUGUAUACGAAAAACAGAAACAUAAUCUUGUAUACCUUAUGUUAAAUGCAAGAUAUAACUGCAAAAAUUUGAAUCAAUAACCUCGUGUCGAGAAUCAAAUCAGCCACCAUAACAUAUUACUAUAAGUAUAUCUAGACUACUCAAACAACUUCAGAAAUGAAAACAAUGGUAGCAUCUGCAAAAUAUAGUGAAGGAAACCUAAAAAGAUCAACAGCAGAAGAAAGGCAGUGAUGAUACUUCAAACAAUACUAUUAGAAGCACCUGCCCCCAACAUUCAAGAACAUCUUCACUCUAGUAGGAUCUUUAACAAGUGCAUUUGCCAUCAGCUUAUGAAACCUUUCUUAAGAAAUAAAAGAUUCUUCCACAGAACUCUCACAAGAAUAAGCAAAUAGGCAGUUCUUAGUGAUUGCAUCUAUUUUGAAACAGAAAGGAUUUAUUAUGUUUUCAUCGAGCUAAAAACUACAAGUCAUUCAUGAAGUUUAACAUGUGAAGGCUUCAUUUAACAUCAAGAGACAAAAGAAAUUGGACCAUGUACUGCUCUCCAGGCUCACUAAACAACCAAAAAAAUAAAUUGAUUCUCAAAGCUCUUCCCUGUUUUUGUUUGACUUGUAGUUCAUUUUGACGAAGGCUGCACACCUGAGAUGGGAUCAAUCAAAAGUUAUCUAUCUAUAAGGCCUCUAAAUCUUGCCAUUAGAUCCACAAAUUACCUAAUCUUGUUUUAUGAAAUAUCAUUGAAGAGCGUAUUUGCAAAUCUCAUCCUACCCUAAGUAUAGAGAGAGAGAGAGAGAGAGAGAGAGAGAGAGAGAGAGAGAGAGAGAGAGGAGAGAGAGGUUUGCUGCACCGUCGGGGGAGAGAGAGGGGGACUGCACCGCCGGGGGAGAGAGAAGAGAGAGGGAUGCUGCACCGCCAGCAGAGAGAGAGAGAGAGAGACGCACUGAGGGGAAGUGGCCGCCUUGCGCACGAACGCCGGUCGUCGGUCGUCGGCCGCCUUUCACCCGACUGGGAGGAGGAGGAGGAGACGUUCGGGUAUUAGGGUUUCGACACAGAGAAGGGUGACGGGGUUACUAUGACUUGACAUGAUCUGAUCAAAUGAAUUGGCUUUUAGCAUUUGAUCUGGUCAAAUCAAUUAGCUUUUCGGUUCGACCAAACCAAGUGGACCGAGCCAUGAUCUGAUCAAAUCUAUUACUGGUUCGAGCCACGAUGUUCGAUUCGAUUUUGAUGAAUAGAGUUUUGAAUAUUAAUGGAAUAAAUAUAUGUUAUUUCCAGAAAAUAUAAUAUAAUAGAGAAAACUAUGAUAUUGAUACGGAGCAUCGCUUCUCAGCGGGACGCGAAAUCUCGAACGCAUUUUAAUUCGAGCGGGCGAUAACCCAAAACCCGUUCGAUUUGGAUACUUUCCCUAUCCAUUUGAGAGCUUCCGGUCCCCUCUUCUUCGAUCCGUCGCCGAUUUAGGGUACUGUUGAGGUAUGAACGAACGGGACUUGAGGGAAUCCUUCUGUUUCUAGGGUUUCGGUUCGAUCCAUUGGCGGCGGCGGCGGUGGCGCUGGAAAUAUUCGGAUUUUGCGACCAUGAGUGCGGUGAAUAUAACGAAUGUUACGGUGUUGGAUAAUCCCACGGCGUUCCUCAGCCCGUUCCAGUUCGAGAUCUCGUACGAGUGCUUGAUUCCUCUGGAAGAUGGUAUAUUUCUCGACCAAAACUUACAACUUCAAGAAAAAGUCCCGCCUUUCGUGGGUUUCGUUGUGCGUCUUUCCUUUGAUGCUUCUGUUCGUGUUACACUGUUGUUUGUCAUGACUUGGUUUCAUUUUCUAUUCUUUUCUUCUUGUUAUGGAAUCGAAGUGAAAGGUGAUUAUAGUUUGUAGGAAGGGUUGUCCAUGAAACAACAUUAUGGCGUGGUGGCUGAAAUUUGAGCUUUAGAUGAUGCGGAACAUGGAAAUGGAGAAGAAGAGGGAGUAGAAGCUUGUUGAAUUUAUUGACGGAAUCGAGAUACUUGUAGAUGUCUUAUUCCCGUCAAUAACAUUGUUCUUUUUGUAGGAUUAGCACUAGUUUAUCAAUGUAACGUGUGAAAGCAGGGCGAGGAGUGGUGACGGUGACAUAUUUUAGGAAGUUUUCUUGGGACUUAUAUGAGAUGUUAUAGUCAAAUUUAACGAGCUUAAGUCUAUCGAUAUACAAAAUAUUUAAUGUUAUGGCUGUGUGCCAACUCCUUAGAUCAUGACACAAUACCUCUUGUGCAAUACUAGCAGGUUAUAUGUGCCUGGUAAAUGUUUUAGUUUAGCAUAAUAUUGUGCUGCUGAGAUGCAUAGAACAAAGGCAUGUAUCAUUUUUGACUUCUUUAUAUUCAUAACUAAGCUCACAGGAUGAUGUUAUGAUAUGAGAAUAUGUCCUUUCAAUCACAUUUUCAAGAUUAUCAAAAUUAUACCUAGAAAUCCACUAGGUUUUUGUGCUUGUGGGAUACUAUACUUUGAAUAACAUUAAGCUAUAACCACUAAACAAAAUAGUUUAAAUUGUAUCUUACCAUUGUGUCUUUAAAGCAUCCAUUUAGAGUUUCUUAUUUAUUUUUGAUCGAUGCAGUCCAAGUUAUCGACAUAAUGCAAAUAUAUAUCUUCUUAAAUACAUUUAGAUUGCUCAUGACACAAAUUUCAAAUAUAUUAAAUAACAAGUAAGAGCAAUGAAGGUUUGUUAGUCUCAGAAUGCUUAUACAGCAGUGCAUACUUUUGUAUACGUUGUUUAGAAGGUUAUGGUGUAUCCCACAGUUGGAGUCAUGCAGCUAUUAUCAGCCCUUUACAUUUUGCAACUAACAUAUGAGACUGCUGACACAAAACUGAAGCAGAUUAGCAGACACUAGAUUAGGAUUUUGCUGAGAUCAUUGCAGGGGAUUAAGAAAUAUCAAAGAAAGUUGAAGUUUUACAUGUUGAAAAGAUUUUAUGUGUGUUCAUUAAGGUGUCAGUCAACAUUAUUUAUAGAUUGCAAGGAGUUAGGUAAGUUGGAGUCUUUAUGAGUUUAGGGGUUAGGGACAUUUUAGGGAUUAUUGGGUUAGGAAUAUUAUGUAAGACUCAUUUUGUUCUACUUUGAGAUUCACCAUGGAAAAAUAAGGAGUUUGAACUUAUUCCUCUUGUUAUACUUAAUAUUGGUGGAACUUUUGGACCAAGACAAUUCUUUAGCUUUUGGGUGAAAUUAUGCAUGGUCGCGUAGGGAAGCCAUUGGGCACUCACCUACGCUUCCAAGCGAGGUGAGGUGACGCUUGAAGGCCUAGAAACUAGUAUAGGUGGGCACCUUCAACUAGGUGCGGCCUUGGGCUUAGGCGUUGGGCGGGCUAGGCGCUUGCUUGUUUCAAAUCAGGCUUGGGUCAAGCUUGAGUCGAGCUUAAUUCUCAUUGGUUCUAGUUCGAUUGAACCAAAUCAUCCAAUCCUAAAACCCCUGUGCACACACGCACGAGCCCUAAUCGCAUUGGUGUCUUCCUCUCCAAUGAUCAACUACUGUGGUGUUUUCCAAUUCAUCAAUGAAUGACAAUGUUGUGUCUUCCUCUCCAAUGGUGAAUGGCGCCAGUGGUGUCUUCCUCAGUAUCUCUCUCUCUUCUUCCUCCUCCGUGGUCGCACCCCCUAAAUCAUGACAGCACCCUGUUCCCUCUACCAUAGUCGCCAACAUCUUCCCCCCUUCGUCAUAGCCCCCUAUGUCGGCGUUCGCCAGCGCCUUUCCCUCCCUCUUUCCCCUUCUAUUACAGCCCCUCGCAUUGGCGUCCGCCAGCCUUUGUCGCAGCCCCCUCACCCCCCGUGUUGGAGUUUGCUAGCGUCUUCCCCUCCCCCCAUGCGCCCUUUAUUGUAGCUCCCCUCCUUCCCCGACAGCAUCCUCCUCCUUGAUUGCUCCUCUCUCUGCUCCCAGACCAUAGCCCCCUCUCCUUCCUCUUUCCUCCCUCUUCCCCUCCCAACUGCAACGCUCUCCCAAACCCCCUCCCUCUUCCCUCUUCGAACGACUAGUGACUAGUAUUCUCCCUAUGGCAAUGGUGUAACAUGGCUCCUUCCAUUGCUAUCAACCUUCCUUCCUUGCCUUCCCUAGUUCCAAUCAACCUGCUCCUAUUCUCACCCCCCUCCCCUGCAAAAUUAUUAUUAUUAUUUAUAAUAGUUAAUUCUUAAGAAUACAAGUUUAUGAAUAGUGUUGAUUACUGUAUUUGCGACUACUAGAAUUUUGAAUUGUUAAUUCUUGCUAUAGUUUUGCAUAAUGUUAAUUUUGAUAUUAAUCUUUUAUUAUUAUUAUUAGAUUCAGAAAAUUUAGCAUUUUAAUAAUUUGUAGAUGGUUAAAUGAAUGUAAUUUGAUAUUUAGUGGUGAUAAUUUGAAGAUGAAAUUAUAUGAAACUCAUAUUUUGUCUAUUUUUAUUUUAAUGGUUGACUUUUUUAAUUAUAAACUUUUUAUCAUUUUUAUAUUAGCGAGCGCAUUGCUUGGUUGAGCACCUAUUACCUCAAACAUUUUUGAACCUUGGCGUCUUUCAGCAUGUAGCGCCUUUGACAACAUUAGUCAUGUGUAGAUCUCUGCCCAUAUUGUGGGUAAGGUCUAAAAGUCCAUAUUUGUGCUAAAUGCUUAUUUUAUAAUUAUUAGGCUUAAAGUUGGAUUGUUAUAGCUAAAGAGUAUGGGGCAGGAGCUAUGUUGAAAUUUUCUAAUACUUUACACUUAUCAGCAAUAACUCAAUCAGUUAAUAUAUGGGUGCUAUUAUGUGAUGAACUCUUAUUCAAACCGAGUCAGUAGGACAUGUAAUUUCACCUUUAGCAGACAUGCACAGAAAAAUAACAAUGGCCAUUCAAGAAAUGAGGGUUGACUAUAUUUCUGAAGUAAUGGAAGAUCAUCGCAUGUACCUUCCUUUAUCUUUAGCAGCCAUCUGAAUUAUUACGUCUGAAGGUAAUUUCUUUACCAUGUGGACUAUUUUUUCGUAGUAUCUUCAAUCAUCCAAAAGUGCAACGCAAACAAGGUUUGUUUACACUGUCAAUUCAGAACAACUUUACAACAAGGAUGGAUUUAAGUGAAAAAUAUGGAGUACAGGAAAUAUCAUUAUCCUCCUCAUUUCUCCACUGCUGAUUGCUAUAGAACAUGGACAUCCAAAUGUCUUUUCAUAUAUGAACACAGGGUUUAACAUCAUGAUAUGUGUCGGAUAAAGCUUUCCUGGACUAGGUUCUUCCGUAUUUUCAUUUUUGUUGUUUGGAAUGCUUGUGCUGCAUUAAUAGGCACCUUCUUAAGGAGGCAAACACAAACUGGAAUAUUUAAUUUUAUGGUAAUAUUGCUCAUGGCCUUUUUUUGUUUCUUAGUAUCGGCAUUAACAAUUAUUUUUGUGCUCAACUCUUCAGAUUUGGAAUGGAAACUCAUAUAUGUUGGUUCAGCAGAAGAUGAAACUUAUGACCAGCUCCUUGAGAGUGUGCUUGUUGGUCCUGUCAAUGUUGGGAAUUAUCGCUUCGUUUUCCAGGCAAUGUCAGAGAAAUCUGAACCAAGAUAUAAAAAUGGUUUAUACACAUGAUCUCAUAAAGUGACUUGCUCCUCCCUUUUUUAACUUUCAGGCAGAUCCGCCAGAUCCAACCAAGAUCCGUGAAGAAGACAUCAUAGGCGUCACAGUGCUACUGUUAACUUGCUCGUAUCUGGGGCAGGAGUUCCUCAGAGUCGGCUACUAUGUGAACAAUGACUAUGACGAUGAGCAGCUCAGAGAAGAACCUCCUCCAAGGGUUUUGGUUGAUAGAGUCCAGCGGAACAUCUUGGCCGACAAGCCUCGUGUCACAAAAUUCCCAAUCAGCUUUCAUCCCGACCCCAGUGAGAACGGAGGGCAGCAACAGCAGCCACCAGUCUCACCCGAAAGUCAUACAGAUGAUGAUCCACGGUCCAUCCAAAACUCCAAGUGUUAGCUGGUGCUUGUGCGUUUUAUCGAUGUCAUCUGUAGAACGGUAACUUCUCCAAGGUGUUGCCAAUUUGGCUAAUAUAAUUUGCUCUUUGAUCCGAAUACUGUGCCUGACCUGGAUGGCUGGUGGAACUGAGAUUAAGUACUUAGCCGGAGCUGUGUUUUCAUUUGAUGGGAAGGAAACUGCUCGGUUUGUACUCUGAUCCAUACUGUGCAGGUUUAUCGAUGGAACUUUGUAGAAAUACAGUAGUGAGCCUUUGCUCCAUCUAUUUUUGAGUGGGAAAUGAAAACAAAUUGUCAUUUUUAUCUGCCCAUGCCAAGCUUUUUGUUUCCUCGACUUCUUCUGUAGUACUGUUGUGGUCUGCAAAAUACAAUUCCACCAUUCAUCCAAGCACCAUCCCACCUUAAAAGAUGAUUGGUACCUCAAGGCUCGACUGCCAAAAGAGAAGAAUGUUGCCCAACAUUGGAUUCUGCCACCGUGCUGCAGCGUAUCACGCGUGCUUGUGAGAGCGUGAUGGUAUCCGCCAGUGGUAACUGAGCGAUGUCAGAAAGAAAGACUCGGGAGAAGGAAUACACAACAAAAACAAGAUCAUGAAAGCCAGUUUAACUUGUAAAGAAUUUUUCAACCUUUUAUCGAGGAAAGGGAAGCCAAAGUCUGUACUGGUAAGGUGGUGACUGAGAAAUCAAAGCUGCAAAAGGAAUGGGGAUUUCAGUUAGUUGAAAGCAGAAGCAAACGCUUGGCUGAACACAUACGAACACGAGUACUUUUCAGGAACAAACAUCUCCAAGAAUUUCACCUCUCAAGAAAAGUAUAGCAUUUUGAAUCCAUCAAAGAGGAAACAAACGAAAGCAUGUCCGAUAAAUAGCCAAAUACUUGCAAAAUAACAAUACCUUUUUGCUACUUGAGUUGCAUCAUAUAAGAGUCUCCAAAAUAGUGCACUGCCAUCCAUGCAUUUCAACACUUAAUAACAUAUUUCCUGGUGUCAUGUAACAACUCAAGCAGAUAGUCUGAAUUUUGACAUAACACAGCCAUAAUACAAACAUUAGAAAUUCUAUAUAGACAGUGAGACUGCCUGUCUGUUAUAUACCAUGCAAUGGCCAUUGCAGUUUUUAUCAUUGAAAUUAGAUAUGGAAUUAACCAUUGAAAGCAUUAAAGGAGCCUCAAAUGGUACAUCUGCUUUGUGGAGGCUUGGAAGGUAAUCUACAUGAUUUAACUAUUACAAAGGCAAAAGAAGAACAAAAAAAAAAGUAUUUCAAAAUACAGACUACACUUGCCUGUGAUUCAGCCAGUUCAAACAAAGGGUAAAAUUGUGCAGAAUGAAUUCUGAUGUUCUGCUUGACCAAAGUAACUUUUUUAAAGAUUUGUCGAAGAUAUUUCUACUUUGGUCUGAGAAUAGGCAACAGACGUACAAUUUCACAUUAUGACUAGGGUUUUAUGCCAAUCGCGCCACAUGUCAACAUCACAAAAUGCAUCCCAAGAAUUUGUCCAAACUUCAUCCUUAGUUCGUGCUUUACCUUUCUCCAUGGAGUCUUAAUGUGCCAUCAAUGAUGUUCCACUUCAGUUUAGUUCCUAUACUUGAAAGCUCCUGCAAAUUCUAGUGUUAAGAUUAUUUUGGUGCUUAAUGUGCUGAAAGAGCUUCAGAGAAUGCAAACAUCUGCAUCAUUACCUACAUAACAAACAAAGAACUGAGUAUCAGUUUUAAUGUCACCAUGUGUAACUUUACGGAGAACACAACACAGGUACACUAAUCACCCCCGAAAAAUUUUAGUGGAUGUGGUCUCUCAUGGGCCUGAUGUCUGAGAUGGCACAUAUGGAUCCCAACCAUCAGGCCUUAUGAGAGAUGGCAUCACCCCUAAAAAUUUUUAAGGAUCCACCAAGAUAGCAGUGUUCCUUCUUCAAUGAAUACUAGAAAAGUUAUUUUAUUAUCCAGAAAUUUUUGAAGUAAAACUUUCUGUUUAGAUUAAAAAAACCUUUCAUAGAUAUUAAAUUAAUUGCAGGAUUUGGUGAAACUUCUUGUAAAUCAUCAUCACCUAGAAAUCACAUCAUCGCUGCUUAAAAGGGACUUAUUUCACGAGCCAACUUCAAUUGCCACUCAGGAACCAGGCGUCGCGCUUUAGGUGCUGUAGUGUCUUUUGCAAGCGCAACUGCAUCACCAGCAUGGAUGACGGCAACUACAUCUUCAAGAAGAUCAUCUCUACCACCUCUUAGAGGAUCCUGUAAGCGAAUGCCUUUGGUAUUAGAAGUAAAGCAAAUUUAAAACUCGAGUUGAAACAUAGAUAGUCAUCACUUCCUGUUUUAUAUUUGUUCACAGAAAAGAAAAAAUAUGUUGAAACAGAAUCCAUGCAAUUAAUACAAGGCUCAUAGGUUCUGCAUAAUGAUUCCGGUAUGUAAUAAAAAUUAAAAGACAAUUAAUUGCUUUACUUGAUUAGGCAGAGUUCCUUUUCUUCUGAUUCACAAUUUGACCUAUGAGUAGGGCAAGUCUUCAAUUUCAAAUCAUUCCUAAGUCACUCUAGCAUUCACUAAUAUCCUGAUCUCUAUUAUUUUUUUGUCAUCUCAAGUCCUGCUUCUCCAGAAAGUCCUAGAAUAUUUGCAGUUCUCUUCCGGGUCCAGAUUUCAGCUAGACAAUUUAAGCCUCCUAUCAAAUGGCACGUAUUAUGCCAGAACUGAAUACAAGAGAUCUGGGCCUCUCGCUUGGUACAUACUCAAAGGUUGGUUCACUGAAACAUGGAUAACAAGACCAAGAAUUUGGCAUAUUAAUUGCUAGUGAAUGCAGGACAGUAAACAAAUUGGAGGAAAAGAAAACAACAGGCUGCAAUCUCAGAUUCAAUUUAAUUUAAUUUUUCUUUUGUCAUCUCAUGUCAUGCUUCUCCAAAAAGUCCUCGAAUAUUUGUAGUUCUCUUCAGGGUCCAGAUUUCAGCUAGGCAAUUUAAGCCUCCUAUCAAAUGACAUGUAUUAUGCCAGAAUUAAAUACAAGAGGUAUGGGCCUCUCACUUGGUACAUACUCAAAGGUUGGUUCACUGAAACAUUGGAUGCCAAGACAAAGAAUUUUAGCAUAUUAAUUGCUAGUGAAUACAGGACAGGAAACAAAUUGGAGGAAAAGAAAUCAGCAGGUUGUAAUCUCAGAUUCAGUUUAAUUUUCACAAAUGCAAGCUGCAGUCAGAGUAUACAAGAAAAUAGACCGGCAGUAUUGUAAAGGAUUCGAGAGAAAAUUUAUAAAACAUAACUCUAUGGUCAAACCAUUUGACAGCAAAAUAUCAUGAAGAAUAUAAAGGUCAAGCAGCUGCAGCAAUUAAGGAAGAAAUAAAAAAAAGAGGACAAAGAACAGACAAAACAGGAGAUGGAAAGAUGACUAUUUCUAUUUAUUUAUAUUAAGUACUUGCACAAAGCUAAUGCCUAAACCAUAAAUAUAACAUCAAUAUUACAUCCCUAUUUCUGUUCUCGCUGAACCCUGCAAACAGAAUCUUUUCAAUAAUGAUUCCUUCUGAAUAACAACUAGUAGAACUCUCCAUAAAUGGUUCAACACGAGUAGUACAAGAUAGGGAGACAUCAACAAAUUCAACGCAAUACUUCCUGCCAUAAUUUUAAUGGAAGUCACCCACAUGAGAGUUUAAAUCUACUUGAGAUGGGUAAAGCAACCAAGGAUAAACAGAAUAACUUCAAGAAGGUAUAAGAUAGAGUUUUGAAGAGUUUUUAGGACUAAAUUUACUGUUAUACUGCUGUUAAAGCACAUUAACUCAGAAUAAGGAACAUUGUUUCACAAAUUAGACCUGUAUCGGUCACUGAUUGGAUACCGGUGGUGUACUGACACAUCGUACACUAAUACAUAAUGAUACUGAUGUCUCAAAGAAAAAGAAGAAGGAGAAGAGGAAGGGAUACAGAAGGAAGAUGGAGGCGGAAGGAAGAAGGCAGCAGACAAAGAGGAGGAAGAAGCACAAGGAGAAAGAGAAAGUUGGAAGAGGAGACGAGAAGCAUAAGAUGACAAUAGAUUAUAGCAGAAGUUGCACUCCUGAGGGCAGUAGCAAUUGAAAAUAAAAAAGUGAAUUGCUCAAUUACCACGAAUUUACCUGCAAAAACAAAUCAGUGUGUGUCUUGCCUUCAUACAAGAUUAAUUUAACUUGAGCACCAACACUCCUGAGGGCAGAAGCAAAGUUUUCACUGCAAAAUUAGGUAAGUUACUCAUAAAAGCCCAUGGAAAACCUUUAGUCCAAGUAACAUGAUUAAGUAAAAGUUGGAUUACCAAUUAAUAUCAUUUCUAGAGGUAAAUCCAUAUCCAAAGAUAAAUAAAAUUAACUAUAAUAAUUGUUAUGGAGGCCAUAUGUAUGCAGCAUUAGUGAAACCUCGCAUGUUGAUUGGUAAAAAUAUAGACAAAUAUAGACAAAAUCCUGAUGCCAACAAAUUUACCACAUUCACCUAGCAUGUUGAUUGGUAAAAAACAAAAAAAACAAACAAAGAGUCUCUGAAACAAAGCACUUGAUAUGCAAACACAAAAAAUGACUUGGUAGUACAAAAUGUAGGAAGAAGAGCUAUUGGGAUGUGUUGAAGUGAUAUUCUUGUGCCUUAGUUGUGGAUGCCAUGAUAUUCAUGUUUCCAUACUGAUAAGAAUUUUCAGAAGGAAUCUGACGCUUCAAAUUCAUUUUCAAUUGAGGCAAUCUUGUUCAUUUGACAAGUGCUUAUUCCUUCUCGUAACAGUUUCACCAAGACCAACCUGGCAGUAGAGGGUAUUGAAUAGUCUCCUGUUCCAUGGAAAAGGAUAAUCUGAGGCAGGAAAAUAAUAGCUGGGUGAAAACUUUGGUCCUGUACAGUCAAUUCUGGAGAAAAACGCUGUAAGGACUGCUCCCCCUCCAUUAUGCUGUGAUAGAAGUUUUAAAUUGUUGUGUGGGAUAAUUACAUGUGAGUGACAUUCAGCAAAAGAUGGAGCACAAAAAAUAACACUGACCAACGAAAGGAAUGUAGAAUAAUUACCUGAGAAAGAUGCUGCGGUACAGGCCACGUCUAUGGACAUGAUCGACCAAGUCAAACAAGUUAUAUCUGUCAAUUGAAGUUUUGGAACAAUUUUUUACAAUUUUAUUGAGUCAUAAAAUUGAUAAAGCAAUUUAGGAUUUAAGCUAAAAAAAUAUAACAGCCACGAGAUCAAGUUGUCUUUGACUUUGCGAACCUUUCUCUUUUAUCAACAGAAUAGUCCUAGCUUAAAUUCAAGGGAAUAGUUAUUUAACAUCCAGCAUAUGGAAGAGGGAAUAAUCAGUUCUUCCAAACUAUUGAGAAUUGAACUCAGCAUAACAUCAAUGCAUGACGGAAUUUUCUUACAGUCUAUAUGGUUCUAUGCAUCAGCGGGUAUGCACCACUGUACUUUACUUAUAAUUUUGAAUUAUUUUAAUUUCUAAUUGGAAAUAAUAUCUAUUGUAGGUGCUCCUUAUCGUGGCACCUCUUGGAUUGAAUUCCAAGGAUUCUAUGAAUUAAAGACUCCUGGAUGUAUUUCUUAAAAAAAAAAGAAAUGUAGCUCUUGCCCCCACUCUCUUAAACUCCCUAUAAUGUGAUAAUUUUCCAUUUUGUGAAUUUUUUUCUUACUCUGGAUUUAAGGUGUCCAAUACUAGUCUUUAUUUAAGCAUUGUAUAUCACUGGGAUGGAUUUUUGAAGCAGCCAAACACACUUAAUGAAAAUAAUUAUCCUUAGAGAGUCCGGAUAUAUCCUUUAACCUUUUUUUUUUCUUUUACAACUUUUAAUGCAUCUCUAUAGUAGUUCUCCCACUUCAAUAUUAUGCUUACAUUUUUUACUUGUUACUGUAAAACUAUUAUCAGGUUAUAGAUCUAACUUCAUAUACUUCAGCUACCAUGUUUAACUACUACAACAAUAAUAAGAUGCGAUGUCACAGCUAUUUGGGAUAAAUCUAUGUAAAUCUUUUUCCUCUAUUGAGCUCUAAAAAGCAAUACCGUUGUCAUUUUUUUAACUGCUAAAAUUAAUUUACUGCAAACAUGUGCUUUGCAAAAUUUUAAAUGGUAUAUACAAAAUAUAUUUCCAGGAAGAAAAUAAAAAAGCAUCAAAAGUACUAAUCAUUGGAGACAUGCUAUUUCUAAAAGCAAUUCGGUGUCAUUAAAACAAUACAGGAAAGCUAAUAAGCAACAUGUGCAUGUUAUAAUUGCAUCUUUUAUUGUUCUUUUAAGGUUGACAAAAAUCAUGCAUGUUAUAAUUGACUAGAGAAUGUGCAGAAAUAAGCAACAUGGUAUAUCUUCAUAAUGUGUCAUCAUGAUCUGUAAUGAAGAAAUUGAACAUCCCGCUGGAUUAUGAGGCUAUGGGCUAAGACAAAUUCAUUUGCUAGUAUAUCUUGUGAUCUUCAGACUUGAACCAUGGAAAUUAUAAUAUCUUAGCCACCAAUGUGCACGUGCUGCUACCAAGCAUUCCAUAGAUGACACAUCAUAUCAUAUAAUUUAGUUGGGGAACUUGCCAAAAUAUAGAAGCCAGUUUUUAGUAAGAAAAAACCAUCAGAACCCUCAAAGAAGCACAAUAAACAUCAUGUUCAUAAUAUAAAUGGAAAAACAAAUUUUGCAUGGUAACAAACUUAAGAAAAUGUGAAGAACUUCAUAGGAAACCAAUUAAAACAUCAAAUACUUAAAUACUUGCCCCCCAGACAAACCAAAAUAAGUUUUUAUUUGGGACAUGCUCCAAGAAGUGUUUUCUCCUUGAUGUUCUCUCAAUGCCUGAUCAACAAGUGCGCAAGCAGCAAUAUGUGCACCAGCUGAUUGUCCCAUUAAAUGGAUCCUAUGAUUUUAGUCAUGAAUAGGAAAAAUAGAUAUUAGAUGCAGCAAGAUGGCCAUAUAAUCCAGUGCACAUGGAAAAAUAGCCCUGAAGCAAAUUAAAUCCCAAUAUACUAUAGACAACUUUUAACACUUAGAACAUAAGAUCCGAUUAAGAAUACUAGAAAGGAGAUUGAUCAACUAAGUUCUUAUUUGUCCUAAACAUUAAUAUAUAAAUUUAUUUUAAGUUGGAUCAAUCACCGAACUGAGCAUGGAAAAGCUUAAUUAACUUGAUUUUUACAUUGCUUUAUGUAAAAAAACUUAUUAAUCAAUCUCCUUAUCUACAGCUACUUUCAAUAAAAAUUUAGAGUUAUUAACUAGUUGGUUAAAUUAUAAGUUUGAACAUCAAAUAGGUUGGUCAUAUGAUCAUGUCAAAUUUGCCUAGUAGAGCAUGGUUCAGCGACUAUUCCUUCCUUAGUGACACCCAUUAUAGGAUAACUAAAAUAUAGCUUCUGCUAGCUUAUUCAUUCACUGAACAGAAUUAGGGACAUGAUAGGCUUGCCUCCCUCUCAUAGGAACUGUCUAUGGUAUAAGUUUUAUCAAGAUCAAUAUGUGCAUUUUGUACCAAUAAAAGAAGCUAAUGUGGCUGAUAAUAGACAAUUCAUAAACUAUGUACCAUGUAAAAUGAGGGUGAGCAGGUUGCUUCCUUAAGACUUCAAUGAGGUUAACAUAAGUCCCAGAUACAGCUUCUUUAUUCAUAGGGUAAGGUUGUGUCCUUUGACCUUUCUAGAUCCUAUACCGGUGAAAGUCUCAUGCAUUAGACUUAUCCUUUUAUGUAGUAUGCAGUAUGCACUAUGUAAGACAUGUAGCCUUCAAGUUGAUUUUGAGCUUUCGAAGCAUUAAACGACAAUGUUGUCAAAGGCACUAGGUGCUGAAAGGUGUCAAGGCUCUAAAACAUUUGAAGUGCUAAGUGCACACCUAGGUGCUCACCAAUAUAAACAGUGAUUUAAAAAGCGUUUGGCACCAAAAGGCGUCGAGGUCCAAAAACACCUGAGGCGCUAGGCGCUCGCCUGAGCGAAGCGAGACGCUAAAAUAUAAAAAUAUAUAAUAUAAUUAAUUAAUAUAAUUAUUUAAAUAAAAAUAUAAUAUUAAAUUAAAAAAUCUAACAAAAUCAUAAUAUCACAUUAAAAAAAUCAUAAAAAUUCAAAACAAUAACAAUAAUUUCAAAUAAAUAAAAAUUAGUAAUAUUAAAAUCAAAAUAAUAUAUUAUUAAUCUAAUAAAUAAAAAAAUAUUGUUACUAGUUUACUGUUAACAGUAUACUAUCGAGUCGAUGUGAGAAGAGGUAACAACGAGCAAUGCCAGCGGGAGCGAGAGAGGCGAGCGGUGACAAUGGCAACGGUAGCAGUGAGAAGCGAUAGUAAGAGCGGGAGCGGCGAGCGACGAUAGUGGCAGCGGCAAUGGCAGUAGUAGCAGCGAGCAGCGAAAGCGAGAGUGACAAGCGGUGAUAGUGGCAGCGGUAGCGGCGAGCAGCGGUAGCGGCAGUGACAGCGGGAACGGGAGUGGCAGCGGUAGUGGUAGCGGCAGUGACAGCGGGAACGGGAGUGGCGAGCAGCGAUAGUCGCAGUGGUAGUAGCGAGCACUGGGAGUGACGACAAUGGCAGCGGUAGCAGUGGCAACAGGAGUGGCGACAGUGGCAGCGGUAGCAAUGAGCAACGGCAGUGGGAGCGACAGCGACGAUUGAACCAACUAAAGCACCGAAGACCGAACCAGACCUAAAACGCUGGUUUGGUCACCUAGUUUAACCCGAGCGCUCGCUCGAAGCGCCCGACGCUUGGGCUCGGACGAGCGCCCAAGCGACGCCUCUUUAAAGCGCGCCGCCUGGAAAUGAAGCGAGGCGCUCGGGCCUCGCCUCGCCCAAGCGCCUAUUGAAAUCACUGAAUAUAAACAUUAUAAAAAAUAUAAUUAAGGAGAAAGGCAAUAAUCAAGAUAAAAAUUAGAUAAAAUAUGAAUUUCAUAUCAUUUCAUAAUCAAAGUAUCACUAAUAAAACAUUGAACAACAUUCAUUUAAACAUCUAUACAACAUUAAAUUAUUCAAUUAUCCAAAUAUAGUAAAAAAAAAGAAAAUUAACAUCAAAAGUCCAAUAAACCUAGCUUGACAAAUUCAAUACAUAACACAUUUCAUAAACUAGUAUUAACAAUAAUUAACUAUUAUUAAUUAGUAACAAUCAUUUGGUGGGAGAGGUGAGCUGGCUUACAAUAGGAGAAGAGAAAGAAGAAGCAAAGAGAGAGAGAGAGAGAAGGAGGUCGAGGGAAGAGAGAGCAAGAAGGGGGUUGUGCCACUGACCGUCGAAGCUAUUGAGUGCCAUCGGGAGAGGGAGGAGGCGAUGAGUGAGAGAGAUCCAUGAUAGGGAUGCAUCGUCGUAGGCGGUGGAGGAGAGAACACAAUAAGGGGCAUGAGAAUUGGCACCACUGGAGAGCGAGAGGGAUGGAGAAAUGCAGCGUGAAGGAGAGAGAGAGGAAAAAUAAUAAGGUACCUCCAUCUUCAAGAAGGGAGGUCCGCUGGAGAGCCACUCGCCUUAUGCACGAUGGUCAUCGACUUGCACAUGCAUUGGAAGCUGAGAUCCGACUGCCUUACGUGUGCAUGAAGAUGUGGAUUAGGUUAAAGGGCGGGAGGGGGGCAGGUGGAGUGUGUAAUGGCUUAUCUGGCUUGGUUGAACCAAAUCAAUCAAUUUGGGCCAGGCAAGUGCCUCGGCCCAAGUGCAUGCCUAAGUGACGGUCAAUUAAAGGCACUCGCCUGAACCCGAAUUGAGGCAUUUGGGCCUCGCCUGACCUCACACGAGGGCCUAGCUGAGUGCCCGAACGAUAUCAUUGAAUGAUAAUAUCAUACCAGUCCAUCGAAUCAUGUAAGACUAGUCAAACUUAUGUUAACAAGAGAUAGCUAUAGAUCUAAAUUAAAAAUUAGUAGAUAUAUUUUCCUUCACUUUUAGCUAUUCAAAAUUCAGGAGCAUUUUUAGUUCAACAAUUCUUUAUAGAUAAGUUGCACUAGUUAGCACUACAUAACAAAUCACUGGAGGGCAAAACUAAAUGAAUCUUCAAUCAUCAAUUUCUCACCAUAUUCAAUCUAAAAUUUUGUACAUGUUAAUUUAUGGUCCAGAUCUGGAUAUAGUAGAUAACUAAUAUUAUUACCUCUUUUCACUCUUCUUUCUUAUUUGAUGGGGCUAAUAUCCUUGUUUGAUACCCUCAAGUAGAGGUUUGAUAUAGUGGCACACAAGAAACUAAGUUGACAUAGAAUUUCCUAUCAAUCUUAAAAAAUAAACUUCAUGCCAAACUCCAUCAAGCAGUUAAUGUAAAUAUCUUUGAUGGUUUGCAGUUAGCAACCCUUACAAGCAUAAUAAGUUUCAUGACAUAAAACCCAUACCGGUUAGGAUCACCUCCAUAGUCAACAAUAUUGUUGCAUAUAAAUGAGAUCCCUUGGGAGGCAUCUUUUAUCAUAUCACUUAUUGUCCCUUGAGGAAAGUUUCUACAAAAUGAAAACCUCAAGCUUGAAUGAAACAUAAUAUGGUGCCAUCAGGAUCAAGCUGCAUAUAUCAUCUCAAAUGUAGAACUACAGUUUAUCUUUGAAGAGCCUCAACGUUACCUGUAGUCUAUGCAUGCAACUAUAACAUCCCUUUCUGCUAAACGUCUCCCUAGCAGAGCACCCCAUGCUUUAUAGCUGAAGAAAGAAAAGAUGAUACCUAUUAAAUAGUUAGCAAUGUAUCAGAAAUUAUGUUACAAAAUUUCCCGUGCUAUGUCAUUCUCAACCAUGUGUAACUCCACUCACCCAAUGAUCCAGGCCCCACCAGUUACAAAUGCCACAACUGGCUUAGGUGUGCUGCCAUUAAUAGGCAAAUACAGAUCCAAGCUGCAGAACGAAAGCCCUUUAGUUCAGAAGAAAUGAGAAGAAGAAAUACAUGUUAGAGAGGAACACAGUUUGCAAUUGUCUACCGAUUUCUUGGUUGUUCUCCAUAAAUUACACUUCUGCGCACCUGAUUCGAGAAAAAAUAGUAAUAUCCGACUGUAGGGAAAGAAGAGGCAUUAUUAAUUGUAUAGACCAACAUAUGAACACUAUCAAGUAAAUUAGUAACAAACUUGUAACUUGUGCAUGAAAAGAAAUGUAAAAGAUGGUCAUACAAAUAUCUCAUGCAUCAAGUGAAUUUCAGAGCAAGGUUUAGUAAGAAGAGCACCUUGUAUAAAACCUGGCAUAAGUAAGAGAGCAUAAAAGCCGAGGGCAAGAAACUUUGUAAUCCACCGAGAACCAACCCUGAACAAAUUUGAAUAGAUACUGACUAUAAAAUUCCAGCUGGAAUUCAAUUAAAAAAUUUGAUGGAAGAAGAGAAGUAGAGCAGAUAUUUUGUAUAAAAAGAAAUAGUAGACAAAUAAUUUGAAAUUUUAAGCAACUGUAAAAGAAUGAACCCUUGGAUGUUUGCAACCAACCAAAUAUAGGCUUCAGGUUUUGCAAAACAACACAUUACCAUGGAGAAUCACCAAAUGUUUAAAUUUUAAAAUGUUAAGCUUAAUCAAGAAACUUACUGACUAUAUCUAUAUAAGAUUUUUAGGGUGCUACUAAAAUGCAGAUUAAUUAGCGAAGCUGUUCUUUCAUCUGCCUCCAAUAUGAAUAGAAGCUGUUGUAAUAAGGUUUCGUCAUUUACUAGAAAACUCAGCCUUUUUUUGGCGAUGAGACUCUGCUAAUGCUCAUGUGUCCAUCAUCAAGUAGCAUAAAUCAUAAUAACAGAUGAAACCUAUAUAUUGCAGUUCAUGGUUACACUAGUAGGUUGUUUGGGCACUCCAAAUAAUAUGCCAUCAAAUUAGAGUGAAUAUAUACAACAUUAUGUUGCACCAUUCCAUUAUAAAUCUGUUUAAUCCAUUGAUUUCAAGAAGGAAAUUCUAACCCUAGAAUCUGGCAUUUCCCAUCAGGUAAUCAUGAAAGGGUGAGGCAAAUUAGCGUACAAAAAAUAAGAACAGGAUCCAUCUAAGUUAAUAAUGUCUUACCAGUCGACCUCCAAGCACUACAUGGUUUAAGAAAGCAGAAAAUUACUGAGAUCCAUACAUCACGUCCUUAUAAAUCGGUUAGUUUAUACUUUACAGAACAAACAUUUAGGGUCUCGGGCCUAUUAAAUUUACGGGUCAAUUUUCUUGGAUAGGACUAAAGGCACAUUAUGGGAUGAGCCCACGAAUAAAAAAUUCAAACAAAAAAUCUCACUAAUGAAAUCCCAAAAUUUGUACCCGAGGUAUCGGAGGAGGAUGAGGGUGAGCCGAGUAAUGAGGUAGGUUUCCGCAGCGGCGUGACCCAUUUCUUGCCGGAAGGACGGGCGGCGAGAUGGAGAGCCCAGCGGGGUUUCACCGGCCGUCCUCCUCCUCCGGCUGCCGGAGGAGCUGCGGCGGAGGAAUGGCCUUUCCAGAUCCAUCUCCUCCGCAGCUCCGGCACCGUCUCCAUUCGUGGCGGGACGAUCGAUCUCCAUCGCCGACGGCCGAAUGAGAGAGAGUCGGUUUGAAGAAGUUGAGAAGGCCAAAGAAAGCCGGGCCUUUCCUUUGCUUCGACGCAUGACAUUUAUUGCCCGUAUGCAAUGAUACGUAUUACGAAUAUAGGCAACGUGGCAUGGUACGAAUGUCCGAAUAUAUAAAAUUUUGAUCCAACAAUAAUAUUUAUCAGAUUCACUGGUCAAGAAUUUGAGAAUUUUAUGUGAUAAAUAUUUAAAAAAAUUAUCUAUUAAUAUAAAGAUUCUUAUAAUUAAGUCUUACCGACCAAACAGACAGACGGGUAAGACAGUUGUCUUGGGUGGAAAAGCAAAAGCUGACACUCCCCUGACACGUGUCGACGAUAGACGAUGGAUGGAUGGAUGGAUGGAUGGAUGGAUGAUUGAAAGCUGAUAUGUAGAAUUAAUCAAAUAUUUUUUUAUAAGGAAAAAAAAACUUAAAUAAGGAUAACAUAUUUAAGGCUUAAUUGAGUACAUCAGACACGAUCUUUAAGUCAUAUUAUUAGCAAACACCAAGAAAAUAGAUAUUGGAAUCCAUCGAGUAGGCAGGCUGUAAUUUCUUGCCUAAAUACAAAAACAAAUUUGUGCUUGGAACACCUUUCACUCUGUUGAAUUCAGAAAUCAUACAACCAGUUUGCCGGAGGUCAGCUGCGGCAUGAAAGCUCAGGCGAUUCUUAUAACGCUGUCCGUCCUGCCAGCAAGAAUCAUGGAGAUCUGCAGACCACGACUAAAUGCCUGGUUGAACAGCAAGCGAGUCUGGAACUCGGAAACGAAGGGGAACCACGACAGGACAACGAUCGGCACAAAGAUUAAGAGUCCCAUUACGUACUCGUAUGCUCUCCCCAGCUCCUUGAUGGAAUCCCAGAAUCCCGUCUUCUUAAAAAGAGGUCUGCAUGCUUGCCCAAUCUUGGCAAGUGACGAGGACAACAAUGGCUGAGCAUUAGGCACGAACAUACUCAUAUCUGAUGGGUGAAAAAUGGAACAGGAACGCAUGCACUCACCAAAAGGAGAAACCAGCCGGUUGGCAUGAAGCCCAGCAAUGCAGCAAAGACAUCUGAUAUCGUCAGCCCACAGACGAUGAAUAACACGGUCAUGACCGAUACAAACCCGAGGAAGAGAAGACCUUUGAGGAUGCGGAACAUAAGUUGGAAAUCAGUACCAAACCGUCGCCUCCCCAUGGAAACCAUCU